AGUGAACGCUGGCGGCGUGCUUAACACAUGCAAGUCGAACGAGAACGGAAUAUAGCUUGCUAUAUUUGUCAGCUAAGUGGCGCACGGGUGAGUAAUGUAUAGAUAACCUGCCCUUAAGAAAGGAAUAACAGUUGGAAACGACUGCUAAUGCCCUAUAUGCCUUUAAUACAUAAGUAUGCAAGGGAAACGCUUUAGUGCUUAAGGAUGGGUCUGUAUGGUAUCAGCUUGUUGGUGAGGUAAUGGCUCACCAAGGCUAUGACGCCUAACUGGUUUGAGAGGGUGAUCAGUCACACUUGAACUGAGACACGGUCCAGACUCCUACGGGAGGCAGCAGUGGGGAAUAUUGCACAAUGGACGAAAGUCUGAUGCAGCAACGCCGCGUGGAGGAUGACACAUUUCGGUGCGUAAACUCCUUUUAUAUAGGAAGAUAAUGACGGUACUAUAUGAAUAAGCACCGGCUAACUCCGUGCCAGCCGCCGCGGUAA
rnacentral:rRNA from 1 species